rnacentral:rRNA from 1 species
CUCAGCCGAUGGGCGAUGCCGAUGGCAGAACAGGUUAAUAUUCCUGUACUACCUUCAGGAGUGACGUGGAGACGGAGGCGUGACAGCGCCGCGGACUGACGGAAUAGUCCGUUGAAGAGUUUAGAUGUUGAUCGCGGCAGGCAAAUCCACCGCGUGAGUCGACGCUCGAUAGUAUGGAGCGCCCCUCGGGGCAAUCCAAUAGUGCGUGUAAUCAUACUCCCAAGAAAAUCCGCUAAACAUUCAUCUUGUAGGUAC